UACGGAGGAUGCAAGCGUUAUCCGGAAUUAUUGGGCGUAAAGCGUCCGCAGGUGGUCUUUCAAGUCUGUUGUCAAAGACCGUAGCUUAACUACGGAAAGGCAGUGAAAACUGAAAAACUAGAGACCAGUAGGGGUAGCGGGAAUUCCCAGUGUAGCGGUGAAAUGCGUAGAGAUUGGGAAGAACAUCGGUGGCGAAAGCGCGCUACUGGGCUGGGUCUGACACUGAGGGACGAAAGCUAGGGGAGCGAAA
rnacentral:rRNA from 1 species